ACAGGUAUGAUGAAAUUGGUAAACAUAUUAGAUUUAGAUUCUAACGCUUUAAAAAAGAUUGAGGGUUCAAAUCCCUCUACCUGUA
rnacentral:tRNA from 1 species